rnacentral:lncRNA from 1 species
UUCCAUAGCUCACAGUCCGGUGGAUACCAUUGCCCGAGCACAGUUUUGAGCACCGAUGCGUGGCUCAUUUACUGCUGCGGCAGGUAGGCCUGCUGGGGCGGAUAGGCCUGCUGGGGCGGGUAGCCCUGCUGCGGCGGGUAGCCCUGCUGCGGGGGGUACUGCUGGCCAGGCGGGUAAGGGUACGCUGCGGGGCAGAUUGGGUGAAGUGCACGAGAUGUUUGACAUAUGACCGGGAGACAUUGAUGACAUCUCUGCACAGCACAUGGUAACCACGGUACAAUACGCAAGGUACUAGGAUUGAGUCGCGCAGCAACAAGUCACCGGCAGCCGCAAACUUACGCGCAGGCACCGCCACCAUCUGCUGCUGGGGCGCAACGGCAGGUUGCUGCUUGUUGAGCUCAACGCCACCUACACGACAGUCAUACGCAUGUCAGCGCACAAUGUGCAUGAACUAUACGAGUGCCUGGAACUAGGCGCACGACAGCGCAGUAAUACAAGCCCCCCCUGCACCACCUAGUGCGCGGUCUGACCGCCGCUUACCGGGGCCCAGGCCACGGAUCUUGCACUCGCGGUACUCCUGGCACAUGGCGCACGGCGAGCACCAGCAGGUGAGGCAGCAGUCCGUGCAGCCGUCACCUGGAAUGAGCAAUGAAGAAGCGAAGUCAGCAAAUGCGGGUUGUGAAGUGCAUUGUGCUGGGAAGUCGACGUGUAACUUAUACUACAGGUAGCACAUGUUUGUCGAAAUUUCGCGCAGCCUGCGUUGUGGCAUGCCGUAGUCUACCAUGAGAAAGCACGACUGACCUGGGAUGCCGUACUUGGCGCGGAGCCAGCCGCGCGACAUCAUCUGAAAGCACGCACAUGGUAAACGAUGUAAGGAAAUCAAUGCGCAUGGAUGGGACCCGUGCCAUGAACAGACAACAAGUAUGUGACACCUCACCUGCAGGAUGCAGGGGCAUCCGAUGAACGUCAUCCCUACAUAACAACGGGAUGCAGUGUGACGGGUAAGAUGUUGUAUGACAAGUGUGCACUCCAGCAACACCCGCAGCAAGCUCAGAUAAUGCCAUCUCUCAUGUUUCUUUGAUAUGGCCACUGUGUAAAGCACGCAUGCGUAAAUUCAAACACAGGAUGGGCGUCAACGCACAGCGCCUAGUGACGAGGUACCCACCGCGGCCAUAUCCCCUGCUGGUGUCCUUGGUGACCGGUCACCACAACCACCACGCUCCUGUAACCCACCGAGGUAUGCGCAGCAAGCACCGACGCAGCUUCCACCGCAGCAGACGACGGGGGGCAUCAUCUCCACCGUUGUGCCAUACAUGCAACAGCCACUGUGGGUGGCGAACACGGCGUCACUUUCUCAGGGGACGCCCGCGGCCAUCACAACGGUGUGAUGCAGGCGCGACGUUACGACCGUACCGACUACACUUCGUUUAAUGCAAUCUGGGCCUCAACGCUACUCACCAGCACCAUGCGUACACUGCAGAGCGGUCCGCCCAAGCAGCCGGAGAAUAUUGCAGCAACAGGUAGGCAAGAUACAUGUCAGCACGGGCGUCGAAAAUGUGACGCGCGACUUAUACAUCGCGCAUGGAUUGGUUUGUGUAAUAUGUGCAGCAAUCACGUCGGGCGCAGCAACCGGCGUCUGUCUGCGUGCGAGCUGCGACCCCCCACCCGCUGACUCGCAACUCGCUAUGAUCAGAACGUCGUAGACCAGCGUACACACGCAGCCUAUGCAGGAGAACGGCGUUGACCUCUAUGCGCUGCAGCCCGCUCGUCAACAUGGCUGCCUCAUUGGGUGGGAAGUCCAUGUCAGGGCACCAGGACACAUACUCACGGCAAAUUCCGAAUCCGCCAGGCGGGGCACAGCAGUCGCAGAAGCCUGGAUGCGCAGGGCAAAGUUUGGGCGGUCAGCUCACCUGCCCAAGGACAACAAGGCACGCUAUUUGCAUCUAAUAGUUAAAUUGUGAGCAGCUUAAAGCAGGCGACAGAUCGCUGCCGGCACCCAAGCCGGUGAACGGGAAGGCCAGCGCGGAACUGGUCAGCGGCGAGCCACCUUCCUCACCUGUCGACCAGGAGCUCGGGGCAGCGGGAGGCAUCGCCAUUUUAGGAGAGCUUGCACUUACAAAACUGGCUGAAACGAGAGUUCAAAGGUCAGCGAGCUCGAAGGCGUCCCUAGCAGCUGGCAGGUGAAGGAUAUGCGUUUCGUCUAAGCUUAAAAGUUAGAAAAUAGAUAUUUCUACAAGCCGGCAAUGCACGCGCCACGGACAGUAUGAAAUUCAAGUUGGGUGCGCAUGCGAGCUCAUCUCGGCACCUGCGAACCUGCCGUGCUCUUGGUGGUCCAGACCAACUGGGCCGACUUGCUGGUAACGUACAACUUACAGCGCUUAUGGAGUGGUGCCAUCGUGGAUCACGAUUUCAUGGCUGUCGAGCACGGCUGUCGAGUGUCGCGCCCCCUCUAGGUGCCCGCAGCUACUUCGCGCAGCGCCUUCGCCGCACGGACAAGAUAUGUGGUUUCCCCUUGCAAGUGGGUUGAGCCCACGCCACGUCUCUAGUCUGAGGCCGCAAGCGUCUGCCUCAUCUCCCAGACAUAACUGGGUAAGGCUGGGGACUGGGGUCGGUUCGUACAGGCACGGCCCGCCAUGCGUCCAGCCACGUCCCGCUGUCAAGCACAAGCACAGCCAGCAACCAACCAAACAGCAGGAAAUCCUCUAGCCACAACACUCCGCACCGCUGCGGCCUACAACAUACUGUGCGGUGCUGUGCUUGCCAGCAAAGACCGCUAACCCGACAGAGAUUUGCCAUGGAGCGUUGCAUCAACCCGGGCGUGGCGGCAGGCGGGCGCACAGCAGCGGAGGGAGCGGCAACGAAGACGGUGACCCGUGACCAGCGUGGGCCCCGUGGCGGGCCGGGCCGGGCACCCGGGGACAAGGGCAUCGUGGGCGUUGAUCCCGGCAACUACCUGCUGGCCUGUGUCAGGUCAAUGCCAGGCUUCUCACCGCACAGCUACAGUGGCCGGCCACGAGCCGCGCACGUCUGGCGUGGCCCAGAUGGCCAGGCUCCUGGGCCUGCCCAGCCCCCACUGCAGCGACGGCGGAAGCGGUGGUGGCGACGGCAACAGCGGCGAUGGCAGCGGCAGCAGCGGCGGCAGCAGCGACGGCGUCGGCGGGGGCAGAAACGGAGGUGGCGGCACAAGGGGGGCGGGAGGUGGAAGGGCAAGAGGCGAGGGUGGCGGGGCACGCGCCUGCAGACGCAUCAGCGUGCCGUAACAGAACGGCGCCGCCAGCAGCGCGCCUGCUUUACCCGCCUGUCUGGCGCUGGCUACCGCCACUGCACAGGUCAGACAGGCCGUCGGCUGUGGCAGCAGGCACGGCUAGAUGAGCAGCCGGCGCUCAAGCGCUGUCAAGCGGGGAUACCCAGCGCGCGGGUGGCGUCGGCAGCUGAGCAUGAGCUGCGAAUACGCUACCUCUACUCUGGAGGUGGCGUGGACGCGGCGGCGGCUGCCGGGUCUGCGCCUGCGCCGGUGCAACCGUACGGGCUGUGGCACCUGCUCCGUUUCUACCGUCAGUGAGGCCAGCGGCGGUGGCGCCUGACUGUCCAUGUGCGGACGCAGAAGAUGGGGGUUGAGGGGAGGGGGCCAGCAGAUGCAUCCACACCAACUGUAUUGCGCUGACGCUACACCAAUGCCACGGGUACAGGUGCUGGAGCACACGGCGCAGCAGCUGGCUGGUGGAAGGCCCAAGGAGGAGGUCAUUGUUGGCUGGGGCAACGCCAACACUGGCUAUGGCGGUUGCAUCAGCAGGUUGGGGCGGGGCCCACACCGGGCACUGCUCCGCCUGCUGGUGGACAAAUACGCGCACCUGGUGGUGUACGUGGACGAGUUCUACACAUCACAGGCAAGAUGAGAGCAGACGGGUUGGAAUGAGUAGACAGGUGGUCGGGUGGACAGGAUGGGGCUCGUGUACAGGUGGCCGGGUAGCCAGCAAGGUUCACACUGUACUCCUCCCCUCCCUCCCCAGGUGUGUGCGAAGUGCGGGCGGCGCUUUCUCGGCGACGGGCAGCGCUGCCUGCAGGCGGUCGUACCAUAGGGGGGCUCACGUGCUCACCAAGUCCAAGUGUGCAACCACUGCGGGACGGUGUGGGUGAGUCUACUUUGCGGGCGGGCGGCUGGCUGGGUGAUGGCUGGGUGGCUGGGUGACGGCUCAGUGGGGCUCAGUGGGGCCCAGUGGGGCUCAGUCGUGGACUCAGUGGGGCUCAGUGGGGAUGACACGUGGAUGACACGGCUCAGUGGGUGAGGGCUCAGUGGGGCUCAGUGGGGCUCAGUCGUGGGCUCAGUGGGGCUCAGUGGGUGAUGGCUGGGUGACGGCUGGGUGAUGGCUCAGUCUUGGGCUCAGUGCGGACGCACUCACUCUACCCUUCCGACGGUGCAGGGACGUGACGUCAACUCCGCAACCAACAUCCGGCACACGCUGGUGGAGAUGCUGCUGGGGCACAAGCGACCUGCAUCGCUGCAGACUGGCGGCGGCGGCGGCGGCGGGGGCAGCGGCAGCGGCAGCGGCGGCGGCGGCGGCGGGCAGCAGCGGGGGCGCGUGCGCGCAAGUGGUAGCGGAGGGGGCGGGAAAGGCCACGUGGAGGAGGAGAGCGAAGCGCCGCCCAAGAAGCGGCGCAAGCGCGCAGGCUGAGGAGCCGGCUGGUGUCUAGGUAGCGGUCCGCGGUGGGGCUGGCAAGGCAUGUGUAGCGGCAUGAUAAGUAGUGCGGCUGUUGACAACUGUGCUGCGCCUGGCUACGGUUGGCUCUGCUGUGGCAUCGCCAGCGCUCGUAUCUUCCUUCGUUCGGAACGAAAUUUGCCACGAAAGGCCUCUGGCGGCCGAAAUUUUUUUGAUCUUGACUUGAAAUUUCGGGCCAAAACGCACGGGAUCUUGGGGGGACUUUCGGCCAACAGACGAAGACAUUUUUGGGAUUUCGGCCACUUUCGGCCGAAGGACAAGGGGGUUCCACCGGCUACUCCACGGCCGAAACCUGCUUGGCAUGUGGUGAGAAGACUCAGAGGGCUGUAUGCAUGUAUCUAUGGGUGUUGAGAGUGAGGUUGGGUCGGCGGGAAGCAGGGGAGGAGUGGACGUGUCGUGUCGGUGUUGACAUCUGAGAAUGUUCAUUAUCGGGCAUUCAUUACUUCACUGUUACAUUCCCGUGCAAAUGGCGUCCGCCGAGAUCGCUGACACCACCGCACACGAACCGUGCGGGUUGGGGGCGGAGCCCCCGGAAAAUUUUUGGGGGUGAACGAAGCGGCGCCAGCAGGGGUCGUAUCUUGUUUUUGGGGUAAUGUCUAGCUCCAGACAAAAACGGCCGGAUGGCCGCCGUCUUUUGUCUGGGCACAAGGCGGUUUGGGGGCUUCUCCGUAGGAAUUCGGACAAAACCCGCCCCAAACCCGGGCCAACAAAGUCUCACCCCAGACAUUAGCCCCCAGGAGGAAUGUCUAGGAAACGGCCAAAAUGGCCGAUUAAUGUCUGGAGACAUUAAGAUAGGAGCCCUGGGCGUGCCCAACCUCUGUGGGCAGGCCGCAACGCACGUCGGGCCGCCCCCGUUUCUUGCCGCUCCGUUUCUUGCCGCUCCUCACGUCGGGCCGCCCCGUUUCUUGCCGCUCCGUUUCUUGCCGUUCUUGCCGCUAGCCCUGACAUUGGCGAUGCGCUCGGCGAGCCUCGUGUCCGUAACUCAGAGGGCUGUAGCAGGCAGCGGUGAUGCUGGUGAUGCUACUGCCGUGGGUGGCGGUAGCAGGCCCUUGCUACUGGUCCGGCCGGCGGCGGUCCCCAACACGGCGCUUCGUUUCGACGGUGGACUGAUCGGACUCGGCGGCAGUGUUCACGGUGCCGGCGCGGCGGCGGCGGCGGCAAACGCCAGCGGCAGCGUUGCUACCAGCAGUCCCGCGCCGUCAAGCAUAUUGGCCAGCGGUUUUUGUAGCGGAGGCGGAUGCCGUGGCGGCGGCGCAGCCGCCUCGGCCAGCAGUUUUGGCCGAGGCACCGUUGAAGGAGAGAAUGCGCUGGGUGUUUCGGAGCCCAGGGCGCCAGCCUGUUUCGUCAACCAAACGAAGCCAUUUUGAGAAAUUCGGCCACUGACGCCGCCCCUGCCUUCGUAAGAUACGAGCGCUGGGCAUCGCGACUGCUAGAUAGGCACCUGGUUUGGCCAUGUGCCUGUGGAAACCAACCCCGGCUAUGUCCGGGCGAUGAGGUUGUUCGGCCUCAGACUGUGGAGGGGCUCAGCCCCUUUUCCCGUGACCGGGGAACACAUGUCCCUUGCGCGAUUUUGGACCGCUACUUGAUACGCGCCAGGCUAGACUCCAUUCGGUUGACACGGAGACGAUAGGGGGCUUCACUAUGUGCGUGCAGCAUGCAGCAUGUGUGCGGUCCGAACAUAACCACACCGUCGCAUCAGCCUGCAUCAGGUUAACUUCUUUGGUACACCCCGCAAGCUUGGCUGCAAGCUGGGCAGAACAUUAGCAGCCCCCACCACCGAGAUAUGCAGCCGUCUUACUGAAACGCUUGUAGGUUGCGACGGCCGUGUGUCGGGCCCGGGUCAGAGGAUGAAGCUGAAACAAACACAAUCACAUAACGGCAUCAAACUAUCAUCAACAGAUACCGUACUACCAAGUCCACGUCCGUUCCUGCUUCGUCCUAGAGGUUUCCUCUUGCCGUGUAUUAUAUGUAAGGCCACUAUUCGCCUACUUACAAAGAUCCACUUACGAAGCGAUGCGAACGCCAAGUUUAUUCCCGCAGCGUCGCUCCAUUUCUACGCCCCUUGCGCGAAACGGCAGAUCUACAGGGCUGUGCAUUCCAAACCAGCCUGCUCUGCGUCUGUCGCUGUCGCCGGUGCAUACUGCAUCCGCGCACACGCGUCCGGCAGCCGUCGCCCGUGCGUAGCCUUGCCCGGCACAACGUGCUGCCUGAAACCCUUGGAUGGCUUACUGCUUGUUGGCCGGCGCCGCGGGGUCCAUGGCCUGCGGCGGGGGCGGCCCGCCCAUGGCCACAGCGGAGCCCUUCUCCACACCGCCUGUUGGCAUUGUCAGUGAUCAGCAAGCGGAAACCCAUGAUCGUAAUUUGUUGACAUGCCGGAGGAAGGCUCAUCAAGUGUGCUGGCAGGUGGACACCAUGGAUCGUCCUGCAUGGAAACCCUUCCGGCGUGCCCCCAGUAGCGCGUGCCUAGUGAUAAGGGGACGAGGCGCCACGGAAUGCACCGCACUAGCCAGCCGGGCACCCAACCGAUUGAUGGAGACUGGGACCCCUAAUAAACACGUGCAGCAUCGCAUACCGUGCUGGAAGCAAUACUGGUUCGCGACCCAUCCUGGCGGCAUGGCGCGCACUGCUUCGUGCCUUUCCCCCCCUGGAGCAUGCUGACUACCCACCGGGACCCAGGCCGCGGAUGUGGCACUCGCGGUACUCCUGGCACAUGGUGCAGGGCGAGCACCAGCAGGUGAGGCAGC